rnacentral:rRNA from 1 species
UACGGGGGGGGUAAGCGUUGUUCGGAAUUACUGGGAGUAAAGGGGUUGUAGGUGGCUUGUUAAGUCAGACGUGAAAUCCCUCAGCUUAACUGGGGAACUGCGUCUGAUACUGGCGAGCUUGAGUGCAGGAGAGGAACGCGGAAUUCCAGGUGUAGCGGUGAAAUGCGUAGAUAUCUGGAGGAACACCGGUGGCGAAGGCGGCGUUCUGGACUGCAACUGACACUGAGAAACGAAAGCCAGGGUAGCAAACGGG